GAUGAACGCUGGCGGCGUGCCUAAUACAUGCAAGUCGAGCGAACAGACGAGGAGCUUGCUCCUCUGACGUUAGCGGCGGACGGGUGAGUAACACGUGGAUAACCUACCUAUAAGACUGGGAUAACUUCGGGAAACCGGAGCUAAUACCGGAUAAUAUAUUGAACCGCAUGGUUCAAUAGUGAAAGACGGUUUUGCUGUCACUUAUAGAUGGAUCCGCGCCGCAUUAGCUAGUUGGUAAGGUAACGGCUUACCAAGGCAACGAUGCGUAGCCGACCUGAGAGGGUGAUCUGCCACACUGGAACUGGGACACGGUCCAGACUCCUACGGGAGGCAGCAGUAGGGAAUCUUCCGCAAUGGGCGAAAGCCUGCCGCAGCAACGCCGCGUGAGUGAUGAAGGUCUUCGGAUCGUAAAACUCUGUUAUUAGGGAAGACCAAAUGUGUAAGUAACUAUGCCCGUCUUGACGGUACCUAAUCAGAAAGCUACGGCUAACUACGUG
rnacentral:rRNA from 1 species